rnacentral:lncRNA from 1 species
GUUCUACUUUUUAUAUUGAAUUUUUUUGCAGAAGAAAUGCUAUCAAAGGUGUGGAAUUCCAGCCAGGCCAGCAGAUGUUCACAAGUAGGAAGGAGAUGGAGACCAGGAUAUGAAUGCCCACAGAAUCAUGAAGAUGUAGAGAUCUCUUCCCUAAACUGUGAAAUCUUCUUGCUGUCACUCCUGUUCUUGCCUGUUUGGCACUGCACCAGCAACUGACUCGGCACACCUAAGUGCCUUAUGCCAACAGAGGAUUUAGUCCGAUAAUGACCUUCAGCUCUAGAUUCUUUGAAGUCUCCAAAAUUUUCAAAACUGAAAAGGUCGACACUCUUUUCUGCAUUGAUACUCACAUUACAUGUCUAAAUACAAGUUUCCCACUUGAUUACUGUUAUGAGGCUUUUCUAAUAACUCCAUAUAUUAACAUGUUUAUAUUUGAACAAAACAUAAACAUUUCUAUCAAAUCCUCUUUUUAUUUUAUUCUUUCAUUCCUUUAGUGGUAAUGCAGUAGAUGCAUCCUACAU